rnacentral:rRNA from 1 species
UACGUAGGGUGCAAGCGUUAAUCGGAAUUACUGGGCGUAAAGCGUGCGCAGGCGGUGAUGUAAGACAGAUGUGAAAUCCCCGGGCUCAACCUGGGAACUGCAUUUGUGACUGCAUCGCUGGAGUGCGGCAGAGGGGGGUGGAAUUCCGCGUGUAGCAGUGAAAUGCGUAGAUAUGCGGAGGAACACCGAUGGCGAAGGCAAUCCCCUGGGCCUGCACUGACGCUCAUGCACGAAAGCGUGGGGAGCAAACAGG